AAUCAGAAUGAAUAAUAACUGUCAAAAAUUUGAUAUCUGUACUUAUAAACAAAAAAAAUUAAUUUUGAGACGAUGAAUUAAUUGACAAACAUCAUAUCUUCCAGUGAGUGUUAUAAGAUGUUAUAAACAUUAUAACACCAAGUGAGAGGACUUUAGUCUUUCAUCACACACAAUAAAAAUAUACAGAUCGUUUUAUAUGCAGGUGUCGUCAGAGGAAACAUCUGAGUUUAUUUGGAAACAGAAGAAAAAUGAGAGUUGCUGUCUUCAGGACUCUUAUCUGAAGAGAGGUCAAAUUUGGACCUGGAAAAAAGAAAUUCUUAAAAGACAAUUGAAUCCCAACCACCAAAGGAUAGUUGCCUCUAGUCUCAGUAUAGUUGAGUUGCAACUGUGCAAGAAGCAAGAGUCAAUCACUGCCUGUCUCAGCAAGUUGAGUUCUAACUGAAAAAAGGAGGAAUAAGCCAUCUUUGGACUUGAGAAAAAGUUGAGUCCCAACUUCUCAAAAGGAAGACAGUCAUAAGAGAAUUGAAUCUCAACUGCCAUAACAUACCCCAGAACUUUAUUGAAAGGUCCCAACAAUUCAACAAAGAGAAGGAGAAAGAAAACAGUAAAGAUAAAAGAAAAAACCUAGAAGAGGAAUUAUAGAAUUAUUUAUUGAAAAAGAGACUGAUCUUAAGCUGAAAUGAUAGAGAACUUUUAUCGCACCUCUCCAGAUUCAAUGGCCCUAGUAAUUAGUAAUAAGGUAAGGUGCUGGGAAAAAGUAUAUUAUACGAAGUAUUUUGAAAAAUCAUGAAAGCAAAGACUUUAGCGUGUUUGAUUUUUAAAAUAUAUUUAAAAAUGCCAAUGGCAAGUAAGUAUGCAAAAUAUGAAGUAAAUAUAAUUAGAUGUUAAAAGGAUUUUUAUGAGAUAUAAAUUUCUCACCAAAAAUGAUCUGGAUAAAAGUG
rnacentral:lncRNA from 1 species